CAAGUCGAGCGAAGACUUCGGUCUUAGCGGCGGACGAGUGAGUAACGCGUGGGAACAUACCUUUCUCUACGGAACAGUCCUGGGAAACUGGGUUUAAUACCGUAUACGCCCUUCGGGGGAAAGAUUUAUCGGGGAGAGAUUGGCCCGCGUUGGAUUAGGUAGUUGGUGAGGUAACGGCUCACCAAGCCGACGAUCCAUAGCUGGUUUGAGAGGAUGAUCAGCCACACUGGGACUGAGACACGGCCCAG
rnacentral:rRNA from 1 species